rnacentral:rRNA from 1 species
UUGACAUGUCCUCUAUGGAUUCCAGAGACGGAGUCCUUCACUUCGGGUGGGAGGAACACAGGUGCUGCAUGGCUGUCGUCAGCUCGUGUCGUGAGAUGUUGGGUUAAGUCCGCAACGAGCGCAACCCUCGCCCUUAGUUGCCAUCAUUUAGUUGGGCACUCUAAGGGGACUGCCGGUGAUAAGCCGGAGGAAGGUGGGGAUGACGUCAAGUCCUCAUGGCCCUUACGGGCUGGGCUACACACGUGCUACAAUGGCGGUGACAGAGGGAAGCGAAGGUGCAAGCCUUGGCUAAUCUCAAAAAACCGUCUCAGUUCGGAUUGGGGUCUGCAACUCGACCCCAUGAAGUUGGAAUCGCUAGUAAUCGCAGAUCAGCACGCUGCGGUGAAUACGUUCCCGGGCCUUGUACACACCGCCCGUCACACCAUGGGAGUUGGCUUUACCUGAAGACGGUGCGCUAACCGCAAGGAAGCAGCCGGCCACGGUAGGGUCAGCGACUGGGGUGAAGUCGUAACAAGGUAAGCGUAGUGCU